rnacentral:rRNA from 2 species
CUGCGGCAGCGACACUCAGGUGUUGUUGGGUAGGGGAGCGUUCUGUAAGCCUGCGAAGGUGGCCUGUGAGGGUUGCUGGAGGUAUCAGAAGUGCGAAUGCUGACAUAAGUAACGAUAAAGCGGGUGAAAAGCCCGCUCGCCGGAAGACCAAGGGUUCCUGUCCAACGUUAAUCGGGGCAGGGUGAGUCGACCCCUAAGGCGAGGCCGAAAGGCGUAGUCGAUGGGAAACGGGUUAAUAUUCCCGUACUUGGUGUUACUGCGAAGGGGGGACGGAGAAGGCUAUGUUGGCCGGGCGACGGUUGUCCCGGUUUAAGCGUGUAGGUGUGUGUUCCAGGUAAAUCCGGUUCACUUUAACACUGAGGCGUGACGACGAGGCACUACGGUGCUGAAGCAACAAAUGCCCUGCUUCCAGGAAAAGCCUCUAAGCAUCAGGUAACAUCAAAUCGUACCCCAAACCGACACAGGUGGUCAGGUAGAGAAUACCAAGGCGCUUGAGAGAACUCGGGUGAAGGAACUAGGCAAAAUGGUGCCGUAACUUCGGGAGAAGGCACGCUGACACGUAGGUGAAGUGAUUUACUCACGGAGCUGAAGUCAGUCGAAGAUACCAGCUGGCUGCAACUGUUUAUUAAAAACACAGCACUGUGCAAACACGAAAGUGGACGUAUACGGUGUGACGCCUGCCCGGUGCCGGAAGGUUAAUUGAUGGGGUCAGCGCAAGCGAAGCUCCUGAUCGAAGCCCCGGUAAACGGCGGCCGUAACUAUAACGGUCCUAAGGUAGCGAAAUUCCUUGUCGGGUAAGUUCCGACCUGCACGAAUGGCGUAAUGAUGGCCAGGCUGUCUCCACCCGAGACUCAGUGAAAUUGAACUCGCUGUGAAGAUGCAGUGUACCCGCGGCAAGACGGAAAGACCCCGUGAACCUUUACUAUAGCUUGACACUGAACAUUGAGCCUUGAUGUGUAGGAUAGGUGGGAGGCUUUGAAGUGUGGACGCCAGUCUGCAUGGAGCCGACCUUGAAAUACCACCCUUUAAUGUUUGAUGUUCUAACGUGGACCCGUGAUCCGGGUUGCGGACAGUGUCUGGUGGGUAGUUUGACUGGGGCGGUCUCCUCCUAAAGAGUAACGGAGGAGCACGAAGGUUGGCUAAUCCUGGUCGGACAUCAGGAGGUUAGUGCAAUGGCAUAAGCCAGCUUGACUGCGAGCGUGACGGCGCGAGCAGGUGCGAAAGCAGGUCAUAGUGAUCCGGUGGUUCUGAAUGGAAGGGCCAUCGCUCAACGGAUAAAAGGUACUCCGGGGAUAACAGGCUGAUACCGCCCAAGAGUUCAUAUCGACGGCGGUGUUUGGCACCUCGAUGUCGGCUCAUCACAUCCUGGGGCUGAAGUAGGUCCCAAGGGUAUGGCUGUUCGCCAUUUAAAGUGGUACGCGAGCUGGGUUUAGAACGUCGUGAGACAGUUCGGUCCCUAUCUGCCGUGGGCGCUGGAGAACUGAGGGGGGCUGCUCCUAGUACGAGAGGACCGGAGUGGACGCAUCACUGGUGUUCGGGUUGUCAUGCCAAUGGCACUGCCCGGUAGCUAAAUGCGGAAGAGAUAAGUGCUGAAAGCAUCUAAGCACGAAACUUGCCCCGA